CGACUUCUAUUUGCUGCGGGCAAAUAAAAUGUAUGUGAGUAUCAAUACCACCAGCAGUGAGAAUCAUUCCCUCACCUGCUAUCGCUUCGGUUCCUGGCCCAAUAAUAAUAUCUACAUUGUCUUGAAUAUAAGGAUUGCCAGCUUUACCAAUUUUGUAUAUCUUCCCGUCUUUAAUUCCAAUAUCAGCUUUAACAAUACCCCACCAGUCAAGAAUUAAAGCGUUGGUAAUUACAACAUCUACGGCGCCGUCUUGGUUUGAGAUAGGCGCCUGUCCCAUGCCAUCG
rnacentral:sRNA from 1 species